CCUACGGGAGGCAGCAGUAGGGAAUCUUCCACAAUGGACGAAAGUCUGAUGGAGCAACGCCGCGUGCGGGAUGGAGGCCUUCGGGCUGUAAACCGCUUUUGUUCAAGGGCAAGGCACGGUCUUUGGCCGUGUUGAGUGGAUUGUUCGAAUAAGCACCGGCUAACUACGUGCCAGCAGCCGCGGUAAUACGUAGGGUGCAAGCGUUAUCCGGAUUUAUUGGGCGUAAAGGGCUCGUAGGCGGUUCGUCGCGUCCGGUGUGAAAGUCCAUCGCUUAACGGUGGAUCCGCGCCGGGUACGGGCGGGCU
rnacentral:rRNA from 1 species